AUUGAACGCUGGCGGCAUGCCUUACACAUGCAAGUCAAACGGUAACGGGCCUUCGGGUGCCGACGAGUGGCGAACGGGUGAGUAAUACAUCGGAACGUGCCCGAUCGUGGGGGAUAACGAGGCGAAAGCUUUGCUAAUACCGCAUACGAUCUACGGAUGAAAGCAGGGGACCGCAAGGCCUUGCGCGGACGGAGCGGCCGAUGGCAGAUUAGGUAGUUGGUGGGAUAAAAGCUUACCAAGCCGACGAUCUGUAGCUGGUCUGAGAGGAUGAUCAGCCACACUGGGACUGAGACACGGCCCAGACUCCUACGGGAGGCAGCAGUGGGGAAUUUUGGACAAUGGGCGCAAGCCUGAUCCAGCCAUGCCGCGUGCAGGAUGAAGGCCUUCGGGUUGUAAACUGCUUUUGUACGGAACGAAAAGCCUUCUUUUAAUACAGGAGGGUCAUGACGGUACCGUAAGAAUAAGCACCGGCUAACUACGUG
rnacentral:rRNA from 1 species